CUCACUACACUCUCUCUCUUUCA
rnacentral:snRNA from 1 species